GAUGAAGAACGUAGCGAAAUGCGAUAAGUAGUGUGAAUUGCAAAUUCAGUGAAUCAUCGAGUCUUUGAACGCACAUUGCGCCCCCUGGUAUUCCGGGGGGCAUGCCUGUCCGAGCGUCAUUGCUGCCCUCAAGCACGGCUUGUGUGUUGGGCCCCGUCCUCCGAUUCCGGGGGACGGGCCCGAAAGGCAGCGGCGGCACCGCGUCCGGUCCUCGAGCGUAUGGGGCUUUGUCACCCGCUCUGUAGGCCCGGCCGGCGCUUGCCGAUCAACCCAAAUUUUUAUCCAGGUUGACCUCGGAUCAGGUAGGGAUACCCGCUGAACUUAAGCAUAUCAAUAAGCGGAGGA
rnacentral:misc_RNA from 1 species